GCUACAGGCUUAACACAUGCAAGUCGAGGGGCAGCAUGGUCUUAGCUUGCUAAGGCCGAUGGCGACCGGCGCACGGGUGAGUAACACGUAUCCAACCUGCCGUCUACUCUUGGACAGCCUUCUGAAAGGAAGAUUAAUACAAGAUGGCAUCAUGAGUCCGCAUGUUCACAUGAUUAAAGGUAUUCCGGUAGACGAUGGGGAUGCGUUCCAUUAGAUAGUAGGCGGGGUAACGGCCCACCUAGUCUUCGAUGGAUAGGGGUUCUGAGAGGAAGGUCCCCCACAUUGGAACUGAGACACGGUCCAAACUCCUACGGGAGGCAGCAGUGAGGAAUAUUGGUCAAUGGGCGAGAGCCUGAACCAGCCAAGUAGCGUGAAGGAUGACUGCCCUAUGGGUUGUAAACUUCUUUUAUAAAGGAAUAAAGUCGGGUAUGGAUACCCGUUUGCAUGUACUUUAUGAAUAAGGAUCGGCUAACUCCGUGCCAGCAGCCGCGGUAAUACGGAGGAUCCGAGCGUUAUCCGGAUUUAUUGGGUUUAAAGGGAGCGUAGAUGGAUGUUUAAGUCAGUUGUGAAAGUUUGCGGCUCAACCGUAAAAUUGCAGUUGAUACUGGAUAUCUUGAGUGCAGUUGAGGCAGGCGGAAUUCGUGGUGUAGCGGUGAAAUGCUUAGAUAUCACGAAGAACUCCGAUUGCGAAGGCAGCCUGCUAAGCUGCAACUGACAUUGAGGCUCGAAAGUGUGGGUAUCAAACAGGAUUAGAUACCCUGGUAGUCCACACGGUAAACGAUGAAUACUCGCUGUUUGCGAUAUACAGCAAGCGGCCAAGCGAAAGCGUUAAGUAUUCCACCUGGGGAGUACGCCGGCAACGGUGAAACUCAAAGGAAUUGACGGGGGCCCGCACAAGCGGAGGAACAUGUGGUUUAAUUCGAUGAUACGCGAGGAACCUUACCCGGGCUUAAAUUGCAGAUGAAUUACGGUGAAAGCCGUAAGCCGCAAGGCAUCUGUGAAGGUGCUGCAUGGUUGUCGUCAGCUCGUGCCGUGAGGUGUCGGCUUAAGUGCCAUAACGAGCGCAACCCUUGUUGUCAGUUACUAACAGGUUCCGCUGAGGACUCCGACAAGACUGCCAUCGUAAGAUGUGAGGAAGGUGGGGAUGACGUCAAAUCAGCACGGCCCUUACGUCCGGGGCUACACACGUGUUACAAUGGGGGGUACAGAGGGUCGCUACCACGCGAGUGGAUGCCAAUCCCCAAAACCUCUCUCAGUUCGGACUGGAGUCUGCAACCCGACUCCACGAAGCUGGAUUCGCUAGUAAUCGCGCAUCAGCCACGGCGCGGUGAAUACGUUCCCGGGCCUUGUACACACCGCCCGUCAAGCCAUGGGAGCCGGGGGUACCUGAAGUGCGUAACCGCGAGGAGCGCCCUAGGGUAAAACUGGUGACUGGGGCU
rnacentral:rRNA from 1 species